rnacentral:miRNA from 1 species
AUUCAGCAGACACAUUCCAGCCAAUCAGCAGGAGACCCUCCCUCCUAGACCCUCCCACCUCCUGGACAGCUCAUUAAGAAUGCAGCUUCACAAUGAAUGUUAAAUGGAUGCUGUCCAGGAGGUGGGAGGGUCUGGGAGGGAGGGUCUGCUGCUGAUUGGCUGGAAUGUGUCUGCUG